rnacentral:rRNA from 1 species
GCCGGUCCUUUUCCAUGCCCCUCGCUUCCCACUACCCCCGGUCUUCCGCCGUGAACGCCAAUCGCCGGCGCGAGAGCGCGACCAUUCCCUUCCUCCCGCAGCGUCGGCCUCCACCUCCGCACCUACUCCCCAGGUACCACCUCCCUCCUCUUUUUGACCGCGGCGCCGUCCUACCCCUAGUCCCUCUCCCCGGCCGCCGCUUCCACUGGAUAGGAUAAGCAGGGUCCGGCUCGUCGGGGCCCAAAUCCGGCCGCCGGAGCACGGAACAGCCCGGAUUGGUCCUCUUAGCUGACGCCGGAAGACCAACCUAUCGACCUCGCGCACGCUGGGAGGCUAGCCGUUGCCCUCGCUGCCUCCUCCGUCGGCGCGACUCGCAAGCAAGGCCGCGACCAGAAGCGCGCCCAGCGGAGGCAUCUACACCACUGGCGCGAAACGUUCCAUCUCCAGCAGUGAAGAAAUUUCAGCUGCAAUCCCUCUCCGGUCUUUCGCCAUGGAAAAUGCCUGCACAAGCCUCAACCAGGUGGCCCGCUCGGCACGGCUGCUCAACAUCGACGGCUUCAGCCUGACCGCAGGCAUGGGCGGCGACUACUGCCUCAAGUCCAUAUGGACUGUCGAUGGGUACGAGCUGGAAGUCCUUAACUAUCCGGGCACCACAUGGGUGGCUCUGAAACUCGUCUUCCUCAGCGAAGCCCGCACACAGUGGGGCGUGAGGGCGAGCAUGGCCUGUCAGCUGGUGGAUCUCAGCAGGGAGCUUGAGCCGUAUCAUGAGUACGGCGUGUCAGAAACCUUCCAUCACCCCCAAGACUUCGGGGCACUGGUCUUCAUGGACAGAAAUAAGAUACCAUCCGGUUAUAUCAAGGAUGAUAUGUUGACUCUGCGAUGCGCGAUCAUGGUACUCAGGGAGUUACCAGUGCCAACCAUCCCAGCUGAAGAAGUGGUCGCACCACCAUCCACCAACUUGCACCAGCACCUCGGCGAACUCCUGCAGAGCGAGAUGGGAGCCGAUGUCACUUUUCUUGCGUGCGACGAGUCGUUUGCUGCACACAGGUACAUACUUGCCGCAAGGUCUCCGGUUUUCAAGGCCCGGUUCUUCGGAGACAUGAAGGACAAGUGCUCAGCACGCGUGGAGAUCAAGGACAUGGAGGCGGCGGCAUUCAGCGCCAUGCUGCACUUCAUCUACACUGACACGGUGCCUGAUCUUGACCGACCGCUCGAGGAGGUGACGACGAUGGCUCAACAUUUGCUUGUGGCCGCUGACAUGUAUGGGCUUGAGAGGCUCAAGCUGAUUUGUGAAAUAAAGCUCUCUGGUGGCAUCACUGUCGACGCCGCAGCGACCACUCUUGCUUUGGCGGAGCAGCACAGUUGCUUGAAGCUCAAGGCCAAAUGUCUCGAGUUUAUCGUCAGCACGCCUGCUGUUCUUGAGGCGUGCUGGCGACAAAUGGGUAUAAGCACCUUGAAGAAAGCUGCCCUUUGGUCCUCACCGAGCUUCUCAAGUCUACCCAUAUAUUCCACAGGAUAG